rnacentral:rRNA from 1 species
UACGGAGGGUGCGAACGUUGCUCGGAAUCAUUGGGCGUAAAGCGCACGUAGGCGGCGGCGUAAGUGGGAUGUGAAAGCCCAGGGCUCAACCCUGGAAGUGCAUCCCGAACUGUGUCGCUUGAAUCUCGGAGGGGGACAGAGAAUUCCCGGUGUAGAGGUGAAAUUCGUAGAUAUCGGGAGGAAUACCAGUGGCGAAGGCGCUGUCCUGGACGAAGAUUGACGCUGAGGUGCGAAAGCGUGGGGAGCAAACAGG